rnacentral:rRNA from 1 species
UACGAAGGGGGCUAGCGUUGCUCGGAAUCACUGGGCGUAAAGGGUGCGUAGGCGGGUCUUUAAGUCAGGGGUGAAAUCCUGGAGCUCAACUCCAGAACUGCCUCUGAUACUGGAUGGCUUGAGAUUGGGAGAGGGAUGCGGAAUUCCAGGUGUAGCGGUGAAAUGCGUAGAUAUCUGGAGGAACACCGGUGGCGAAGGCGGCAUCCUGGACCAACACUGACGCUGAGGAGCGAAAGCCAGGGGAGCAAACGGG